rnacentral:rRNA from 1 species
UACGGAGGGAGCUAGCGUUGUUCGGAAUUACUGGGCGUAAAGCGCACGUAGGCGGCUUUGUAAGUUAGAGGUGAAAGCCCGGGGCUCAACUCCGGAACUGCCUUUAAGACUGCAUCGCUUGAAUCCAGGAGAGGUGAGUGGAAUUCCGAGUGUAGAGGUGAAAUUCGUAGAUAUUCGGAAGAACACCAGUGGCGAAGGCGGCUCACUGGCCCGGAACUGACGCUGAGACGCGAAAGCGUGGGGAGCAAACAGG